GGCGGUCUGGUUUAAUUUAUAAAACAUCUGUUUGUCAAGCAGAAGAUCCACGGAGGGAGUGGGGCUGCUU
rnacentral:tRNA from 1 species